GCUGGCAGGAGAUGUCAGCUACUUUGCCUAUGAACAAAGAGGAUCUAGAAAUAAUGCAGUCUUUUAACUUCCCCAUGCCUAAAGUCUGAGCACUCUAAAACGGACAGAGCCCUAAGUUGGCCACAUAUGGUCACAACAUAACAUGCCAGGGAAAGAUGAAAAAACUGCAAAAUCAUGCCCAGAAGGGUGUUCAGCUGGUCCUUUUGCCCAGGCUCUGAAAAUCUUCCCUGAUGAGUUAAUCUUCACCUACCACAUGAGUCUCCCUGUCUCAUGCUAUGAGGAUCACUUUCGGAGCAUCGUGGGACCUGCCUAACUGGACUUGAGUUUGCCUCACCCUGCCCUAGAUAUCCCUCUAGGGAGACUCUAUCCUUGAUGUUCAGAACUUUUAUAAACCUACCACUGUUGAUUAUUACUCAGACCUUGCUUGCCUCUCCCCUCAAGCCUUUUCUCAACUAGCACAGCCAGUAUCAGGACAUUUAUAAUUCAGCUCUUUAGGACAGAACUCAAUGCCCCAUAUUCUCUUGUGUUUACUAGUUCUUCUCCUCAUAUCACUUUUUCCCAGACAUCCAAUCUCCAAAUCAUUUGUCUUUGACAAACUUUCUUCUUUGCAACUCUAGAACCCUUUGCCACCUUAUUUUAUUCCAUCUCCAUGACAACUCCCAUCUGUUCCUCCAUUACCUAGCUCAAACAAAAUAUUCAUUUUUAUCUCUCUUGUUACUUGCCUUGACCCAGCUCAUCCUCUAACCAAAUUAAUCUGUGUGGUAUCUUUGCCAGUGACCCUUGCCCUCCCCCAUCCAGGCCUUUAUUCUGACUGUUCUCACAGAUGACAACAUUUUUCCCACACCGCUUCUGACUCCAAAGUUGUAUUCAGUUUUCAAAGCCAGUUUUCUAAUCUGUAAAAUGAAAUUAAUACCCAUGUCAUGAAGGAUUAAAUAAAUAAUGUGAGUAAGGCACUUGAAAUAUAAUUAUUGUU
rnacentral:lncRNA from 10 species